rnacentral:rRNA from 1 species
CCUACGGGAGGCAGCAGUAGGGAAUCUUCCACAAUGGGCGAAAGCCUGAUGGAGCAACGCCGCGUGGGUGAAGAAGGUCUUCGGAUCGUAAAACCCUGUUGUUAGAGAAGAAAGUGCGUGAGAGUAACUGUUCACGUUUCGACGGUAUCUAACCAGAAAGCCACGGCUAACUACGUGCCAGCAGCCGCGGUAAUACGUAGGUGGCAAGCGUUAUCCGGAUUUAUUUGGCGUAAAGGGAACGCAGGCGGUCUUUUAAGUCUGAUGUGAAAGCCUUCGGCUUAACCGGAGUAGUGCAUUGGAAACUGGGAGACUUGAGAGCAGAAGAGGAGAGUGGAACUCCAUGUGUAGCGGUGAAAUGCGUAGAUAUAUGGAAGAACACCAGUGGCGAAAGCGGCUCUCUGGUCUGUAACUGACGCUGAGGUUCGAAAGCGUGGGUAGCAAACAGGAUUAGAUACCCUAGUAGUC